CAGCCGCCGCGGUAACACGUAGGGGGCGAGCGUUGUCCGGAAUUACUGGGCGUAAAGGGCGUGUAGGCGGCCGAGCAAGUCAAGUGUGAAAAGCCCCGGCUUAACCGAGGCAUUGCACAUGAAACUGUUUGGCUUGAGUGCAGGAGAGGGAAGUGGAAUUCCUAGUGUAGCGGUGAAAUGCGUAGAUAUUAGGAGGAACACCAGUGGCGAAGGCGACUUCCUGGACUGUAACUGACGCUGAGGCGCGAAAGCGUGGGUAGCAAACAGGAUUAGAUACCCUGGUAGUCCACGCCGUAAACGAUGGGUACUAGGUGUGGGUAGUUCACUCUAUCCGUGCCGCAGCAAACGCAAUAAGUACCCCGCCUGGGGAGUACGGCCGCAAGGUUGAAACUCAAAGGAAUUGACGGGGGCCCGCACAAGCAGCGGAGCAUGUGGUUUAAUUCGAAGCAACGCGAAGAACCUUACCAGGGCUUGACAUCCACAGUAGGCUGUAGAGAUACGGCUGUGCCCCUUUGGGGAACUGUGAGACAGGUGGUGCAUGGCC
rnacentral:rRNA from 1 species